rnacentral:rRNA from 1 species
AAAUUGAAGAGUUUGAUCAUGGCUCAGAUUGAACGCUGGCGGCAGGCCUAACACAUGCAAGUCGAGCGGAAACGAGUUAUCUGAACCUUCGGGGAACGAUAACGGCGUCGAGCGGCGGACGGGUGAGUAAUGCCUAGGAAAUUGCCCUGAUGUGGGGGAUAACCAUUGGAAACGAUGGCUAA